rnacentral:rRNA from 1 species
GAUGAACGCUGGCGGCGUGCCUAAUACAUGCAAGUCGAGCGAACGGACGAGAAGCUUGCUUCUCUGAUGUUAGCGGCGGACGGGUGAGCAACACGUGGAUAACCUACCUAUAAGACUGGGAUAACUUCGGGAAACCGGAGCUAAUACCGGAUAAUAUUUUGAACCGCAUGGUUCAAAAGUGAAAGACGGUCUUGCUGUCACUUAUAGAUGGAUCCGCGCUGCAUUAGCUAGUUGGUAAGGUAACGGCUUACCAAGGCAACGAUGCAUAGCCGACCUGAGAGGGUGAUCGGCCACACUGGAACUGAGACACGGUCCAGACUCCUACGGGAGGCAGCAGUAGGGAAUCUUCCGCAAUGGGCGAAAGCCUGACGGAGCAACGCCGCGUGAGUGAUGAAGGUCUUCGGAUCGUAAAACUCUGUUAUUAGGGAAGAACAAAUGUGUAAGUAACUGUGCACAUCUUGACGGUACCUAAUCAGAAAGCCAUGGCUAACUACGUG